GUGGGGAAUCUUGCGCAAUGGGCGAAAGCCUGACGCAGCAACGCCGCGUGGGGGACGAAGGCUCUCGGGUUGUAAACCCCUUUCAGGAGGGACGAAAUUGACGGUACCUCCAGAAGAAGCCCCGGCCAACUACGUGCCAGCAGCCGCGGUAACACGUAGGGGGCAAGCGUUGUCCGGAUUUAUUGGGCGUAAAGAGCUCGUAGGUGGCUCGGUAAGUCGGGUGUGAAAUUUCGAGGCUCAACCUCGAAACGCCACCUGAUACUGCUGUGGCUAGAGUCCGGUAGGGGAGCGUGGAAUUCCUGGUGUAGCGGUGAAAUGCGCAGAUAUCAGGAGGAACACCAGCGGCGAAGGCGGCGCUCUGGGCCGGUACUGACACUGAGGAGCGAAAGCGUGGGGAUCAAACAGGAUUAGAAACCCUGGUAGUCC
rnacentral:rRNA from 1 species